ACCUGCAUUGAUAGUGAUCUUGGUAUCCUCGUUGCCUGGUCAUCAGAACUGCAGGAAAAGUAACCUGAAAGCAUUUCCCGUGUUUGAGUGGGACUAAUAUAACCCUGUCAAACCUCGUAGCUUUCAGACA
ensembl:snoRNA SNORA71 Small nucleolar RNA SNORA71